rnacentral:snoRNA from 1 species
UCCUUCAGUUCAUAAGCAUGAUGAUUGAGUGUUCAUGGUCUUGUGUGAGAUGUGCCUCCCUCUAAACCUUGUUACAACAUAGGCACAUUACCCAUUUGA